rnacentral:rRNA from 1 species
UACGAAGGGGGCUAGCGUUGCUCGGAAUCACUGGGCGUAAAGCGCACGUAGGCGGAUCUUUAAGUCAGGGGUGAAAUCCUGGAGCUCAACUCCAGAACUGCCUUUGAUACUGAGGAUCUUGAGUCCGGGAGAGGUGAGUGGAACUCCGAGUGUAGAGGUGAAAUUUGUAGAUAUUCGGAAGAACACCAGUGGCGAAGGCGGCUCACUGGCCCGGUACUGACGCUGAGGUGCGAAAGCGUGGGGAGCAAACAGG